rnacentral:rRNA from 1 species
UACGAAGGGUGCUAGCGUUGUUCGGAAUCACUGGGCGUAAAGGGUGCGUAGGUGGCGAGGUAAGUCGGAUGUGAAAUCUCCGAGCUCAACUCGGAAAUGGCAUUGGAAACUACCUUGCUUGAGGGUCGGAGGGGGGACUGGAAUACUUGGUGUAGCAGUGAAAUGCGUAGAUAUCAAGUGGAACACCAGUGGCGAAGGCGAGUCCCUGGACGACUCCUGACACUGAGGCACGAAAGCUAGGGGAGCAAACAGG